GAUGAACGCUGGCGGCGUGCCUAAUACAUGCAAGUCGAGCGAACAGACGAGGAGCUUGCUCCUCUGACGUUAGCGGCGGACGGGUGAGUAACACGUGGAUAACCUACCUAUAAGACUGGGAUAACUUCGGGAAACCGGAGCUAAUACCGGAUAAUAUAUUGAACCGCAUGGUUCAAUAGUGAAAGACGGUUUUGCUGUCACUUAUAGAUGGAUCCGCGCCGCAUUAGCUAGUUGGUAAGGUAACGGCUUACCAAGGCAACGAUGCGUAGCCGACCUGAGAGGGUGAUCGGCCACACUGGAACUGAGACACGGUCCAGACUCCUACGGGAGGCAGCGGUAGGGAAUCUUCCGCAAUGGGCGAAAGCCUGACGGGGCAACGCCGCGUGAGUGAUGAAGGUCUUCGGUUCGUAAAACUCUGUUAUGAGGGAAGAACAAAUGUGUAAGUAACUAUGCACGUCUUGACGGUACCAAAUCAGAAAGCCACGGCUAACUCCGU
rnacentral:rRNA from 1 species